rnacentral:rRNA from 1 species
GACGAACGCUGGCGGCGUGCCUAAUACAUGCAAGUUGAGCGAUGAAGAUUGGUGCUUGCACCAAUUUGAAGAGCAGCGAACGGGUGAGUAACGCGUGGGGAAUCUGCCUUUGAGCGGGGGACAACAUUUGGAAACGAAUGCUAAUACCGCAUAACAACUUUAAACAUAAGUUUUAAGUUUGAAAGAUGCAAUUGCAUCACUCAAAGAUGAUCCCGCGUUGUAUUAGCUAGUUGGUGAGGUAAAGGCUCACCAAGGCGAUGAUACAUAGCCGACCUGAGAGGGUGAUCGGCCACAUUGGGACUGAGACACAGCCCAAACUCCUACGGGAGGCAGCAGUAGGGAAUCUUCGGCAAUAGACGAAAGUCUGACCGAGCAACGCCGCGUGAGUGAAGAAGGUUUUCGGAUCGUAAAACUCUGUUGGUAGAGAAGAACGUUGGUGAGAGUGGAAAGCUCAUCAAGUGACGGUAACUACCCAGAAAGGGACGGCUAACUACGUG